UCAGGUCCUUGCACUUGCAAGGCAGGCAGCAGAACCACUGAGCUAAAUCCCUGGCCUGGCCCAGAGUAAAGUUUUUAAUCACACAUCUUUUCUUCUUUCAGCAUGCGUUUCACUUUCACUGCAUCUCUCGCUGGCUGAAAACACGACAGGUGUGUCCACUGGACAACAGAGAGUGGGAAUUCCAAAAGUAUGGGCACUAGAAGGAUUCUUCUACCCA